rnacentral:rRNA from 1 species
UACCUUCGGGUACGAGUAGAGUGGCGGACGGGUGAGUAACGCGUAGGAAUCUGCCCAGUAGUGGGGGACAACUCGGGGAAACUCGAGCUAAUACCGCAUACGCCCUACGGGGGAAAGCGGGGGAUCUUCGGACCUCGCGCUAUUGGAUGAGCCUGCGUCGGAUUAGCUUGUUGGUGAGGUAACGGCUCACCAAGGCGACGAUCCGUAGCUGGUCUGAGAGGAUGAUCAGCCACAUUGGGACUGAGACACGGCCCAAACUCCUACGGGAGGCAGCAGUGGGGAAUAUUGGACAAUGGGCGAAAGCCUGAUCCAGCAAUGCCGCGUGUGUGAAGAAGGCCUGCGGGUUGUAAAGCACUUUCAGUAGAGAAGAAAAGCAUGGGG